UCACCAUUAUUGCCAUUCCUACAACCAUAGAGUGUUGUGCUAACUAUCUCCUCCUUUGUGCAGUAUCCAUCAGAGGGAUCGAAUACGCCUGGAGCUGGAGGUUCGCACUUUGGUACUCCACCUCACUUUGGUUAAGGUGGUAAUCAAGUGUGGAGUCCGUUACGGCCUGCAACAUUUUCUUUUUGUUUGGACUAUGUUUUGCUAUCUUGUCACGACAAUUUGUCAUGUUUGUGUCACUUGCGAUGUUUAUGCGACGGUUUAUGUGAUGUUUGUGGCAUAUGUGAUGCGACGGUUUAUGUGAUGUUUGUGUAAUAUGCGAUGUUUAUGUGAAGGUGGUAAUCUGUGAAAUAUGUAUAAAUUAUUUUGAAUUGCAGCGACAGUUUUGAA